UACGUAGGGUGCGAGCGUUAAUCGGAAUUACUGAGCGUAAAGCGUGCGCAGGCGGUGAUGUAAGACCGAUGUGAAAUCCCCGGGCUUAACCUGGGAACUGCAUUGGUGACUGCAUUGCUGGAGUAUGGCAGAGGGGGGUGGAAUUCCACGUGUAGCAGUGAAAUGCGUAGAGAUGUGGAGGAACACCGAUGGCGAAGGCAGCCCCCUGGGCCAAUACUGACGCUCAUGCACGAAAGCGUGGGGAGCAAACAGG
rnacentral:rRNA from 1 species